AUGGCGAUUUCUAGGUUUCUCAGAGUUCUUUCUGGAGAAAAUCUCAGCCUAGUGAUCUCUUUAGAAAGGAAAUGGGGUUGAUCCGAAGCUGGAGAGAAAAGUCAGUGUGGAUAUUAAAAUGAAAUGUCUGGAAGAAGUUCAGGUGGAUGAUUUGGAGAAUGAGGAAGAUACCGAGUUAAGUCUUGGGCAGGAAAGAGAUGAGAUUAAGCAGUAGCUUUUAGUAGAGUACCUGCUAAUCUUUGUACUAGAUGAAACCUUAAAGAGCAAAUGGAUGAAUGUUGCUCCACUCAGUUUAUAGAUGGAGAUGGUUCAUUUAAUGUCGAUGGACUUGCUAGAAUUUCCAAGGCAGUUAAGCUGGCUGAAUUUGGACUUUCUUAUGCCGUGGUUUCCAUGAUGGGUCCUCAAAGUAGUGGAAAGAGCACACCCUUGAACUAUCUUUUGUACCGAUUUUAGAGAGAUUGAGGC